UGCUGAGAAACUCUUUGCAUGUCACUGAGCUUCCCAUCUUGGCACCUGUCUGACUAUUCCUGCAUUUGCAGUGGCAAAUUCCCCAUUUUCUUGGGACACCAAGGACCAGAAUGGAAAACUCCCUGGCAAAUGCAUGGUUUGUAUUGGUCACGAUGCAUGGAUUAGAUGAUCUACCAGCGACCCACUUUUCCUCCCUCCUACCUUUGCAGGUACCUGGAUUCAAAACUGACGGCCAUUUUCCAGAUGUUUCUUUCUUCCCAUAAGGAUUCCCUGUGUGCUUUAAAACUCAAAUACAAGCCAAAGAAGUAUUUGAAGAUCACUUUCAUGCAGCCAAAGAAGAAUUGAAGACCACCUUCAUGCAGGCAAAGAAGUAUUUGAAGGCCACCUUCAUGUCCAUUCUUCAGCACCUCUUCCACAAGCUGACCAUGCCACGUUCCUUCAACCUCUACUCGCAGGAUUUGCCUUUC